rnacentral:snRNA from 1 species
AGACCUGAGUGUGAUCUGACUGAGACCCCUGUCAUUCCAUUGACCACUAUGUAUAACUGACUUGACUGGCCAGGCUGUGUAAGCAGAUGUCCCCUCCCUCAGCAUUCCACAUAGUCCUUCCUAAAUCUGUGCUGUCAGUCUAAGAGGACAAGCUUUCUUAAAAAGAGGAACUUUUGAAUCCAGGUUUAUAGGAGUAGUUGCCCUCCUCCAGAACCUCCAAACAAACUGUCACAGACAAUAAAUCAGCCAGAUCAAAAUCUAAUGACAUGCUGAUGCAUGAGACUCACAUUAAUGAAAGUUUAACUCC